rnacentral:tRNA from 1 species
UAGAUAAUGGUGUAGUGGAAGCACUGGGGGUUUUGAUCUCUCCGGGUUGGGUUCGAGUCCCUUUUUUCUAA